ACGGCCUCACUCAGAGAUUACAUCUACCCCACCAGCCCUGUUGGAAGCCUUUUGCUAAGUCUGGUGGGUGUUGGAAAAGCCACUUUGUCUUCACCAAGGUUCUGCUGUCCCAGGAUGUGUGUAUGAGUCAUUGUCUGGAAAUCCAAGUGGCCAGAUGUCCGCCAGAUACCGCCUCACUCGAGUUGCUAACUCCAGCAAAUAGGGUGAGGGGAAGGGGCCGCUCCUCCCCGCAGAGCUGGCGGGCAGGGCCAAGUCAGAGAGAAGGAGCCAACACCUUUGGGCAAAGAAAACCAGAAAAUCUAAGGAGAAGAGCCAGGAAGAAGGGAGGGAAGAAAUGUUAAUGGAAAAAAUCUACCUCUAAAGCCUCGUGCUGUCCAGAAAUAGGUUUUUUUUUUUUUUUUUUCCCCUUGAGAAAUCUCUGCGUAAAACCAAUGCAAUGUUUCAUAUUCUCUAUAUGCUCAGUUUUCUCAUUGAAAGGAUACUCCAGCUGUUGAGAAAACAUCUAGUGCCAACAAAGCUAUCGUCUCUGGAGUUCUCCCAAAUAAUGAGCUUGGUUACUAUUAUUACUGUUAAUGGACUAUUAGAUUAGGGAGUUUGGGUUAAACACAGUACAAAGCAAUGGCAAUGUUCUGCUCAGAUCUCAGACAUUCUUUUGUGUCUCCGGUUAAUCCAUGAUUUGAGGAGACCAGGUGUUCAAAUGCCCUCUAUAAGGAAACCGGUACCUGCUUGUCUGAAUGAUGUCCCUUAUGGGAUGGGAAAACUCCCCAUACAGGAUCUGGAAACAAUCUAUACCCAAAGCAGAUCUCUUUGCUGUAUCUUUGCUAUAAUUCUGCAUGAAAAUCAGGUGAAAACCUUCAAAGAGUGGUGGAGGGACCAAAAGUAGAAGUAAAUGGUUGAAUCUGGAGUUCUUAUCUCUCUAACAUUAUCUCUGUCUAUGCAGAGAAAUGCUCGUUUGAGGUGACUUCAGAAGUAAUGCCAAAGUGAAGUAUAGCUGAAGAAAGCAUCUCUUAAGAAAAUGAGGAUUCUGAAGCUUAUGACAAUUUUAUUCUGAACAAGCUGACAUCUAACAGACUGACAGCAGAAAGAUAAAUACAGUAGCAUGGGAGCUGAGAUGAAUGCAGGCACGUUCUGCUGAGAGGCUCUCUGACAUGCUGAGCGACAUCAGCACAACAGCCCCAAGAUCUGCACUGUUUGAUUCAAAGGCACUGACUGAACCCGAGGCAAGUUCCAAGGCACAGGCUUCUUGCUCCUUGAUGACUGUUCCAUUGGAUUCAAGUCCUCCCUGAAGACAUUUCAAAUCUGAUAAUAUGGGAUCAGGAAGUCAUUAAGGAGUUGGUUUGUUCCUCCUUUUGUACUUCUGCACUGUUUAUGUCUGUUGACGCUCGUCAAGACUUCUGUUGGAAAGCAGAAACAUUUGACUCUUACUUGCUCUUCCUAAGUAAGAUCUGGAGUAGCCCUUACUUGUGAAAUAAGAGAAAGUACUCCUUAAGCCAGAGCUAAGACUUGAAUGGGGAAGAGCCUAGAUUUCCAUAGUGAUGGUUUUGUUGUUCUUUUAAAUUUGUUCUAUCCUCAGUGGUUCGUCAGUAGUAGGAAGAAUCGACUGCUAACAUGACAAUGUAGGUUCCUGCAGUCCACUGACUUACUUUCACCUGCUUAUGAGUUUAGCCUGUGACUUUGGGAUGAUGGAAAUGAUGUGGCUUCAGACAUGGCUGUUAUUUGUAGAUAUAGUAGAGGCCUCUUGGGUCCUGUAGACACGUGUCCCUACUUCAGUAGGUAAGGAUAUAUAGCCGCAAUGUGAAGAUUUAGGGGGAAAAAUACAAGAGCCAACUACAAAUCUUUUUUUUUCUGCUUUUCUCUACGUAUUUAAGAGCAAACCAAAACCUGUCACAAACCUCUAAUAUUGUAGUGUGGAUUACAUCUGGCCUAUUACUGCCCUUUUUGCAUUCUCUGUGCAUACUGACACAUGAAAACAAAUCGCAUAUCUAU
rnacentral:lncRNA from 7 species